CACAACUAAACCAGCGUCCCCAGGGAAGGGGGCCGAGGGAAGCCCCCUUCCCAGAGCAUGGCACUCGGAUGGAGAAAAUAAAGGGAAACCAUUCAGCAGCAUCCACACAGGAGCAAGGGAGUCACACAGUAGACUCUACUUUCCAGGGAGUCAUUACAGAAAUCAGCCCCAGUUUCUCACCAUCGCGAGGGGGACGAUGCCCACGAAGGUCGUCUGGCUGACGAAGAUCUCGGAGACGACCAGCUGGCUCACGGAGUCCUCCGCUGGGUACUCUACCUGCCAGGUGAUCUGCUGAGCCCCCGCCAGGCCGCUGCUGUUGUCGAUCCCAAAGUCCACUUGCAAGAUCUCAUAGGAGGAGCCGUUUGGCCUGGAAAACAGACACGCGAGAGUCCAGUUUAACGCGCGUGACUCAGCAGAAUGAAAAGCGCGGUAAAUCCCACCCGCCUGUCUGUCAGCAGAGUGACUGGCAGCUCCCGCAGGCCCGCAGCAGGAGAGCCGCGGUCCAGGCUGCCCUCUGAGCCGCGCCCGGCUGCGCUGUGCACAGAGGCUGCUCUCCAGUGAGGGACUCAGCAGACAGCGCUGCUCGCUGGGCACCGUGCACCCGGCGAGCCCUCCCGGCCCACAGGGCCACACCGCAGCCCGGCGCCACUCGGAGGGGCCGGGACCCCUCCAGCCACCCGGCGUUACCCCGCCGCCAGGCCCAUCCCGAGUCCAGCUACUCCCGCUGCUUCUCGGCCAGGUGUUUACGGACCAGCGAGUCAACCUCUCCUCUCCGAGCCUCAGAAUUGGGGUGGACGUGGUGACUUCACGUGCUUGGGGGAGCGGCGUGAGACCGACAGUGAGAAAGGACCCAGGAACUCCGAGGAGCGUUACACAAACCGUGAGGCCGAGGGGUCACGCUUGACUUCUCCUCUCAUCAGCUCCAGGUGGGAAGAGACGCAUGCACGAAAAUCCCACCCGCCCUUCCUUCGCGCCUUACCGCAUUGUGCGUGUAUUUGGGGUACAGGGAAAGGAAGGUGGGCAGGGCACAUGUAACGAAGAAGACUUGCCAUUCUUCGUGUUUUCUAUGCACAAAGGCUCUUGUAAAUUGUAGGCUGCUACUGCGGUGACAAGGAAGGAACUACAGAGAGUUGAGACAAUGACAGUGCUGUCCAGGACUGAACAGCUCCUUCUCCUCCAAGUCUCCAUCUCCCCGCGUCUACCGAGGAAGGUGACGGGGGAAACUGAGUCGCUCUGUCCUGGACCAUGAGGCUGUCCAGACCGAAGUGGGCAGAGGACUCUCCCUCCUGCCUCUGCGGCCUGGGCAAGGCCUGCACUCUGGAAAGCGUUUCUGAGGCAGCACUGCUGUCUGGCAGGGUACUUGUCCAGUGGGAUCUCCUACCACGGCAGCUCCUCAUGCCUGAAGAUAGAAGACCGAAAGUGGGGAGCCCAAAACUGUAUGCCAAGAGGUAUCGGGAACAACAUCCAGAUAUAAUAGUGGUGCGGACAAAACUAAAUUGCACUGAUGUGACUUAGGAGAAAUUCUACUCCAAAUCGGACAUUAGCCUCCAUAUGGAAUUGGACACAUUCAACCCUUUCCCUCAUAGAGGAAAGGUUUUGAGAAACUCCCAGAUAUCGUACUAUCAACUACCACAGCCACCAGCCACAAGUGGCUAUUUACCUUCAAAGGAAAUUCAUUUAAAACUAAAGAAAACUUAAAAUCAGAUUCUGUCCCACUAGCCUCAUCUCUGGGGCUCAACACCCACACCUGGCUUGUGGCCCCAUGUUGCACAGGGCGGCAGAGAACUCCCAGUUUGCUUCACGCCCUGGACAAGGCGUUUGUGCUGGUCCCACCUUAGUUUCCUCUCCAGGAAAAUGGGCGAGUGGCACCAACACCCGACUACCCACAUUCAGCGGAGUCAUGGAUGGAAGAGGGAAUGGACUCCACUCACCUUGGGCACUGUCCAGCACUGAGUCCAUUCUGUGAUGACCCCAAAACGCAUGGAGACACAACCCUGCCUGGCGCCAGCUGUUCAGUGCUGCUAGCCCGCACUUUGGUCCCGGGGUACAGAGUGGCCAGGCUUUGGGUAGCGGAGAGUGCCUGAGUCAGACGGGCAGCCCCCCUGAGCCAUGGCACUUCCUCUCUGCUCUGACUUCCCAGCUCAUGAUCAGCCGGAGCCCAGGGGGUGCCCAGGCCAGGCAGUGUGUAGAACAGCAAUUAAUUACCUAGGCUCAUCUCUAUGUAUAAGGUUUUGCUAUUGUUGUUUUAUAAUUUUCCACAAAGCACAGGAAGGAAAUCUUACUUCAGGCGGCUGGAAUGCUUGCCAGUCAGGCAUUUCUAUGGAAAUGGGUUCAUAGCUAUGAAUUUUACCUGCUUCUGAUCUACUCUAGAUAAAC
rnacentral:lncRNA from 1 species